AGAACAGUGGACAAUCAGGUUAACAUGAUGGAUUACAGAACAGUUCUACUGUUGUUAAUUAUCUGCUGGACAGGUGUUGAUGGUCAGACAUUGACAGAAUCUGAAUCAGUGGUAAAGAGACCAGGAGAAUCCCACAAACUGACCUGUACAGCCUCUGGAUUCACAUUCAGUGACUAUGGAAUACACUGGGUCAGACAGGCUCCUGGAAAAGGACUGGAGUGGAUUGCACUUGUCAGUAAACCUACUGGUAGCACCCAACGCUACUCUCAGUCAGUUCAAGGCCGGUUCACCAUCUCCAGAGACAACAGCAAACAGCAGGUGUAUCUGCAGAUGAACAGUCUGAAAACUGAAGAUUCUGCUGUUUAUUAUUGUGCUCGACAGCCACAGUGACUGAAGCUGGU